GAAAUUUAAAUAAGGGCAAAAUUUUAUACCCGUAUGAGAAGAUAACACUGAUAAUAAGAGAGGAUGUGUUAUUAGAAGGAGAAGGAAUGGUGUGUCUAUAAACGAUCGAAACGAUCGUUUAUAUAGAAGAGAAAUUAACUGUGCAAAUAGUGCAACGGGCCCCACAUCCUUUAUAAUUUUCAACAUAUGCGGCUCAUAACACUCCCCCUUGGGGACCGGUGUCACUAUCCACUCUCGCUUAACGUCUUCGUUGCCUCGUUAAAAACCUUUCUAGGAAAACCCAAUGGAAAAAACCAUAGUAAGGUAAAAAGAGUACAACUACGUAAGCUCCCCCUCGAAUGAGCAGUCAUAAAUCCUUCUGAUGAUGCAUUCCAAUGUUACGAACAUGUUUUCUGAAUAUCGAAGUCGGAAGUGAUUUUGUGAAGAGGUCAGCUGCAUUGUCGCAUGAUUGGACAUAUCUUACUUCAAUCUCUUUCUUCUUCACGAGCUCUUGAGUGUAUGAGAAGAACUUCGGAUGAAUAUGCUUCGUUCUAUCGCUUUUGAUAUAUCCGUCCUUUGUUUGAGCAACACAUGCUGCAUUAUCUUCAUAUAAAAUA
rnacentral:lncRNA from 1 species